UACGUAGGGACCGAGCGUUGUCCGGAAUUACUGGGCGUAAAGGGCUCGUAGGCGGCCAACUAAGUCAGACGUGAAAUCCCCAGGCUCAACCUGGGAACUGCGUCUGAUACUGGAUGGCUUGAGGUUGGGAGAGGGAUGCGGAAUUCCAGGUGUAGCGGUGAAAUGCGUAGAUAUCUGGAGGAACACCGGUGGCGAAGGCGGCAUCCUGGACCAAUUCUGACGCUGAGUGAGCGAAAGCCAGGGGAGCAAACGGG
rnacentral:rRNA from 1 species